AAACGCAAAGAUAAAAACACAACGUAUGGAAAAACCAUACAGACCCGGCCGGUAGUCCGGGCGCAGUCAGAGCCGACAAAUGGCGCAGUCUGUAAGUAACCUUCCUCCUUAGGUCGUCCCUUCUUUGCCGGACAUGU
rfam:Blautia sp. YL58, complete genome.